AUUAGCUUGUUGGUGGGGUAACGGCCUACCAAGGCGAUGAUGCAUAGCCGAGUUGAGAGACUGAUCGGCCACAAUGGGACUGAGACACGGCCCAUACUCCUACGGGAGGCAGCAGUAGGGAAUCUUCCACAAUGGGCGCAAGCCUGAUGGAGCAACACCGCGUGAGUGAAGAAGGGUUUCGGCUCGUAAAGCUCUGUUGUUAAAGAAGAACACGUAUGAGAGUAACUGUUCAUACGUUGACGGUAUUUAACCAGAAAGUCACGGCUAACUACGUGCCAGCAGCCGCGGUAAUACGUAGGUGGCAAGCGUUAUCCGGAUUUAUUGGGCGUAAAGAGAGUGCAGGCGGUUUUCUAAGUCUGAUGUGAAAGCCUUCGGCUUAACCGGAGAAGUGCAUCGGAAACUGGAUAACUUGAGUGCAGAAGAGGGUAGUGGAACUCCAUGUGUAGCGGUGGAAUGCGUAGAUAUAUGGAAGAACACCAGUGGCGAAGGCGGCUACCUGGUCUGCAACUGACGCUGAGACUCGAAAGCAUGGGUAGCGAACAGGAUUAGAUACCCUGGUAGUCCAUGCCGUAAACGAUGAGUGCUAGGUGUUGGAGGGUUUCCGCCCUUCAGUGCCGGAGCUAACGCAUUAAGCACUCCGCCUGGGGAGUACGACCGCAAGGUUGAAACUCAAAGGAAUUGACGGGGGCCCGCACAAGCGGUGGAGCAUGUGGUUUAAUUCGAAGCUACGCGAAGAACCUUACCAGGUCUUGACAUCUUGCGCCAACCCUAGAGAUAGGGCGUUUCCUUCGGGAACGCAAUGACAGGUGGUGCAUGGUCGUCGUCAGCUCGUGUCGUGAGAUGUUGGGUUAAGUCCCGCAACGAGCGCAACCCUUGUUACUAGUUGCCAGCAUUAAGUUGGGCACUCUAGUGAGACUGCCGGUGACAAACCGGAGGAAGGUGGGGACGACGUCAGAUCAUCAUGCCCCUUAUGACCUGGGCUACACACGUGCUACAAUGGACGGUACAACGAGUCGCGAACUCGCGAGGGCAAGCAAAUCUCUUAAAACCGUUCUCAGUUCGGACUGCAGGCUGCAACUCGCCUGCACGAAGUCGGAAUCGCUAGUAAUCGCGGAUCAGCAUGCCGCGGUGAAUACGUUCCCGGGCCUUGUACACACCGCCCGUCACACCAUGA
rnacentral:rRNA from 1 species